rnacentral:rRNA from 1 species
AACGAACGCUGGCGGCAUGCCUAACACAUGCAAGUCGAACGAGAUCUUCGGGUCUAGUGGCGCACGGGUGCGUAACGCGUGGGAAUCUGCCCUUUGGUUCGGAAUAACAGGUGGAAACGACUGCUAAUACCGGAUGAUGACGAAAGUCCAAAGAUUUAUCGCCAGAGGAUGAGCCCGCGUAGGAUUAGCUAGUUGGUGUGGUAAAGGCGCACCAAGGCGACGAUCCUUAGCUGGUCAGAGAGGAUGAUCAGCCACACUGGGACUGAAACACGGCCCAGACUCCUACGGGAGGCAGCAGUGGGGAAUAUUGGACAAUGGGCGAAAGCCUGAUCCAGCAAUGCCGCGUGAGUGAUGAAGGCCUUAGGGUUGUAAAGCUCUUAUACCCGGGAUGAUAAUGACAGUACCGGGAGAAUAAGCUCCGGCUAACUCCGUGCCAGCCGCCGCCGUAA